rnacentral:rRNA from 1 species
AUUUUGUGUUUUGUACAGUUUGGUAUUGCAUAUCGUUUAAAGAAAAUUUUAUAGAGAAUAAAUAAUAGAAUUAAAAGGUAGAAAAAUUUAUUAUUUUUAUUGUUGCAUAAUAAAAAUUAUAAUUUUUAGGGUUGAAAAGUCGACUUUUAGGAUAUUUGUUUUUUAGAAUUAAUUAGAAAUUUAUUAUUAUAAAUUGUUUUAUUAUAAAAAGUAAGAGUUAGAGUAUCUAUUUUGCUAGUUUUAUAACAGUUUAUUAUAAUUUGAUAGGAAUUAAGUUUAUUAUAUAAUAAAGUUUUAUUAUAUAUAUUAUUUUGAAAUUAGUAGUUAAAAUGAAAUUAAAUAAUUUUAUUUAAUAUAAUUGAAAAACUCAAAAGUUAAUCAAAUGUUUUUUAAAGACUUAGAUUUUUAAAUAAAGUUUGCUUCUGCCCAGUGAUAUUUUUAAAUGGCAGUCUUAGCGUGAGGACAUUAAGGUAGCAAAAUAAUUUGUGCUUUUAUUGGGUUCCAGUAUGAAUGAAGUUAUUGGUUAAUUUAUGUUUUAAUUUUUAUACGAAGUUUUAAUUAAUUAUAAAAAAAUAUUGGUAUAAUAGUACAAAGAUAAGUCUUCGGAAAUUCUUUUUUAACUAUAAUUUUUAAAUUAUAGUUAAAAAUUUUCUAGGGUAGAAUUUUAUGUAAUUUAUUUUAUCUAUUAUUAAUUUUAAAGAAUUACUCCGGAGUUAACAGAAAAUCAUAUCUAAUCUAGUUCUUAUAGUAAGAUAAGUUUUACAUCGAUGUUGUAUUUAAGUAAAUUAAAAAAGGAGAAGAUUUAAAAUUUAAGACUGUUCUUCUUUAAAUUAACUUAACGUGAUAUUAGUUUAAUUCAUUGUGAGAUAGAAUUGUUUAUCUUGUUUAUUAUUAAAAAUUAGUUUUAAUAGUACGAAAGGAAAAUUAAGAAAAAUUUUAAAUUUUUUUAAGUUAUAGGCUU